AUGAAAAUUUUUGUGCCUCAUCAAUUAGGUAUACAUUAUAUCAAACAUUCAAAAGUUAUUUAUCAUGUAUAUAAGUUAAUUUCAUUGAAAAAAACUAAAAAAAUACAUAGCUGGUACUCGGAUUAUUACAAUUGGCUUGGUCUUUACAGUAUUUCCACUUACUAUGCCCGUUCCAUAAUGUUUCAUUUUUUUCGGGUUUAUGCGAAAUAG